AACAACCUUAGACUGCUGGCCGACUGCUUGCAGGUUUGCCGCAGGCAUCCACUUGGCCACUAUGAGACCAGAGUGUUGGACUUAGAUGCGCCAUUGAUCCAACAGGCUCGCUUUAUGUUCUUAUUAUUCCGCUAUAUGAUCGGUCUCUACCCUUUCUCGGCACCCAAAGCCCUGUGUCGAUCCUAGGCGGCUCGUCUGAGCGCAGGGACUGGCAAGGGACUCCAUGCUUCGUUAUUUUUCCGGAACUGACAGCUUGGUCCUUUCCACGUUUUCUCGGAAUUCAGUAGGUCCGUUUGCACACUUUACACAGGGGGGGGGGAGCCUAACGUAAGGACUUCCAAGGAAGCAUAAGCAGGAUCGGGUUGCGCUUGCAUAUAUUAUGCCCGGCGAGAGAAAUGCGGUGUUUAUUCUUAAAACUGCGCGCUCCUCUUUGCAAAUAGAGCGGCUGCGGGGGCUUAAGAUUCUUUGUGACGUAGGCGCGCCUUUGGCCACGUGCGCUUUUACGAACAAGAAACUGUCAACAGCCCCUUCAGAGGAGAUCGGGGCAUCGAGGAAGCAAGUUGCAGCCUCCUCUCGGGAGAAACCUGGGGCGAUCUCCAUGGAUCCGGAAAACUGAAUCGGCACAUCAGAGGAGGAUUUCUUUUUGCACCUUGGAGCCUUUAACUAUCAUGAGUGAAGUAGUAAACCCUGUUUCCACCAGCAACAUUUAUUUGGACCUAGAAAGCUGCAGCACAGCUUCAGAGAUCUCCCAAAAUGAAGUGCAGGAUUCAGUGAGGAAAAGUGGACUUGACUGCACACUCUACAAAGAAGACCAUUAUUCUGAGCUGAUGUUUGAAGAUUUCAC